CUGCAAUAACAUGGGCUGGGCUUUCUACUGCAUAUAAGAAAAUAGAAAAAAGAAAAAGAAAGAGAAAUCUAUCAAGAUUCAAGAAUUGGGCUGAACAAGAAAGACUCAGACCGCCAUUGGUGUAGUAGGUGAAGAGCAGCGUUCUAAAAUGGCUGACAAAUUUUGCCAACAAAAAUGGAUUGGUGUUUUGGUGGUAGGUAAAAUGAAAAGACAAGUCCAAGAAAAUAAAACUAAAUUUGAGGCUGUCAAGCCACCUCUCUAUGUGUCUCUCAAGUCAAACAUCUCAAUCUUCUCUCAACCAAACCAAUUGACCCCACCAUCCAACCUCACCAAAAAUAAUCCAGUCCCACCAACCCAUCUCCACAAUACUUCUCCCCCACUCACCAAACCAAGCCUAUUAUUUUUUCAAUCCCUUUCCCUUUACCAUUUUGCCCUCCAACAUUUCCAUUAAUUUCCAUCUUCUCCUUUCACCAACCCUCUUCAACGUCUUGACCCACCAAUCUCCCCUAUAUCAAUAUCAGAAAUUUUCGUCCACCUUUCUCAGGGGGAACUUCAGUUCAGCCUUCCAAAAACAGAGUCAGAGCUUCCUCAUCACUUUCUUCAUCUCUCUGCAACUUCUUACAAUGGAGACCCAAGUCAUAAAGCAACAAGAAGAGACCAUAUUUAGGUCCAAGCUCCCUGACAUCCACAUCCCCAAGCACCUCCCUUUACAUUCCUACGUAUUUGAGAAUAUUUCUAGCCACUCUUCAAGGCCCUGUUUGAUAAAUGGUGUCACCGGCGAUGUCUACACCUACGCUGAGGUGGAGCUCACCGCACGUAGAGUCGCUUCCGGGCUUAACAAACUCGGUGUUAAACAAGGCGAAGUUAUAAUGCUUCUGUUACAUAACUCUCCCCAAUUCGUGCUCUCCUUUAUUGGAGCUUCAUAUCGUGGAGCCAUUGCCACAGCUGCCAAUCCUUUCUUUACUCCAGCGGAGAUAGCUAAGCAAGCUAAGGCCUCCAACAGCAAACUCAUAAUCACACAGGCUGCUUACGCUGAGAAAGUCAAAGAUUUAGCCAGUGAUCAUGGUAUUAAAGUCUUGUGUAUUGAUUCGGCUCCUGACGGUUGCUUGCACUUCUCCGAGCUAUCGGAAGCCGAUGAGAGAGACAUGCCAGACGUCGACAUUAGCCCUGAAGACGUGGUGGCGCUGCCUUAUUCAUCGGGGACGACCGGAUUGCCAAAAGGGGUGAUGUUAACUCACAAGGGGCAAGUCACCAGUGUAGCACAACAAGUCGAUGGAGACAAUCCCAACUUGUAUUUUCAUAGCGAAGAUGUGAUUUUAUGUGUGCUUCCCAUGUUCCACGUAUAUGCUCUGAACUCGAUCAUGCUAUGUGGGUUGCGAGUUGGGGCUGCCAUUUUGAUUAUGCCAAAGUUUGAGAUUGGUGCCCUGUUGCAGCUGAUACAGAAAUAUAAGAUCACGAUUGCUCCGAUUGUGCCACCGAUUGUUUUGUCCAUUGCCAAGUCGCCAGAUACCGAAAAGUAUGAUUUGUCAUCGAUACGGAUGCUCAAGUCAGGGGCAGCUCCCCUGGGGAAGGAGCUUGAAGAUACUGUUAGGGCCAAGUUUCCUCAAGCCACACUUGGUCAGGGAUACGGGAUGACAGAGGCAGGGCCUGUGCUAGCAAUGUGCCUGGCAUUUGCCAAGAAGCCCUUCCAAAUAAAACCAGGGGCUUGUGGAACUGUUGUCAGGAAUGCUGAAAUGAAGAUCGUUGAUCCUGAAACUGGAGAAUCCCUGCCAAGAAACCAGCCUGGAGAGAUUUGCAUUAGAGGAGAUCAAAUCAUGAAAGGAUACCUUAAUGAUCCUGAGGCCACAGCAAGAACCAUAGACAAACAAGGAUGGUUGCACACAGGCGAUAUUGGAUUUAUUGAUGAUGAUGAUGAGCUCUUUAUUGUGGAUAGAUUGAAGGAAAUAAUCAAGUACAAAGGAUUUCAAGUCGCCCCUGCCGAAAUCGAAGCCUUGCUGCUAGCCCAUCCUGAAAUAUCUGAUGCUGCUGUUGUUGGGUAUGUGCAAAACUCCCUAUAAUAUUAAUUUUAUUAUCAGUAGUCGCGUAAUGGACUGCAUAAUUUGUAAUAUUAGAAAUCAGGGGUUCUAGCCAAGGAUUCGUUCGGUUCCUGAAUUGGACCAGGUCAAACUUGAAAUUAUAUCCGCAUUUCGGUCUAUUUCAUAUCAUUUAAAUAAAAUUGGUAUCUUUAGAUGGUGUUAUAUGAAUCCAAUCAUUUUCAAAUCGAAAUUGAACUGAACUGAAAUCGAUUAAAAAUUGAAAUUGAUUGGAACCGUGACCAACUGGUCCAAUUCCAGUUCAUCCCUUUUUCAUACUUUAAACCACAGGUUCCGGAUUAGAAUCGGCCUAGACUGAGUUCAACCCAUCAUGUUCUGAUUUACAGAAAAAAUUGACAUGAUCCCAACUUUUUUUUUUUUUCAAUUUUCAGAACGAAAGAUGAGGGUGCUGGAGAAGUCCCAGUUGCAUUUGUAGUAAGAUCAGACAAGUCCCAGAUCACUGAAGAUGAUAUUAAGCAGUACAUAUACAAACAGGUGGUGUUUUACAAAAGAAUAAGUCGUGUAUUCUUCGUAGAAGCCAUUCCAAAGGCACCAUCAGGCAAGAUCUUAAGGAAAAUCCUGAGGGAAAAAUUGGCAACUGAUUUUCCAAAAUAAACUUUCAGACAAUGCUUGAGAACGUCCCUCUGUUUUAAAAUUGGAAGGGAACGUCUACGGAUGAUGCCUGGGUGAAAACAAGAUAGUGAAACAUAUAGAUUUGUUCUAAACAGAAAUGUUUAUGUAAUCAAAUACAAGAUGUCAAGCUCUUCCAUGUAUGUUCAUUUAUAUCUUGUAAAAAAAAAAAAAAAAGACUCUUGGGUAUUUCUCUAGGUGACAGCGGAAAUGACGUGUACCUGCAUCUGGACUUAUCACAGCUUCGUGCAAAGCUGUUCUACCAUUGGGACCGAUGUAUGCGGGAGAGGGACAUAUCUCCAAUAUCUUA
rnacentral:misc_RNA from 1 species